rnacentral:rRNA from 1 species
AGUCCACGCCGUAAACGAUGAAUACUAAGUGUUGGAGUAACAUUCAGUGCUGCAGUUAACGCAAUAAGUAUUCCGCCUGGGGAGUAUGCACGCAAGUGUGAAACUCAAAGGAAUUGACGGGGGCCCGCACAAGCGGUGGAGUAUGUUGUUUAAUUCGAAGCAACGCGAAGAACCUUACCAGGUCUUGACAUGGCUCUAAAUGCCCUAGAGAUAGGGAGAUAGCUAUAGAGCACACAGGUGGUGCAUGGUUGUCGUCAGCUCGUGUCGUGAGAUGUUGGGUUAAGUCCCGCAACGAGCGCAACCCUUGUCGUUAGUUACCAUCAUUAAGUUGGGGACUCUAGCGAGACUGCCGGUGACAAACCGGAGGAAGGUGGGGAUGACGUCAAAUCAUCAUGCCCCUUAUGACCUGGGCUACAAACGUACUACAAUGGCAAGAACAACGGGAAGCGAUGUGGUGACACAAAGCGGAUCUCUGAAAACUUGUCUCAGUUCGGAUCGAAGUCUGCAACUCGACUUCGUGAAGUUGGAAUCGCUAGUAAUCGCGGAUCAGC